rnacentral:rRNA from 1 species
AACCCUUCGGGCGAAGAUAAGACGGAUUAGCGGCGACGGGUGAGUAACACGUGAGUAACCUGCCUUUUACACAGGGAUAGCCUCGGGAAACCGGGAUUAAAAACCUGAUGAAACUAUCAAAUCACAUGAUUAAGAAAGUUAAAACUCCGGUGGUAAAAGAUGGACUCGCGUCCCAUUAGCUAGUUGGUGAAGGUAACGGCCCACCAAGGCAACGAUGGGUAGCCGGCCUGAGAGGGUGAACGGCCACAUUGGAACUGAGAAACGGUCCAAACUCCUACGGGAGGCAGCAGAA